ncrna:unclassified sequences DTF3800-I RNA
UUGAAUCGCAGAUAGAAAUAGGCUGUAUAAUCACAUAACCAAAUUAACGUUUAAGUGUCAUGUGCUGGCACUGGUCGUGAUGGGUGGGUUGUCCGAGAAUGGAUAGCCCAUUUUUAUUUC